UUCAUCAAUUCCUCUAAAGGAUAAAGGGUAACAAAUUGCUUGCUUAGAACUAUUCAAAAGGAAUCAAAUUUUACCUAACUUCCAGGCUAUGUAGUUCAAUUUGAGGUUGAAUUUCCCAUUUACUGAGUCCCCAUUCAAUGUCACGUUCAUGCAAAAGAAUUUAGUGGAAAAUAGCAUGACUUUGAGAGGCUUUGACGCUUCCAUAGCUGCUUUCUUCACGUCAGUUGUCCUGUCUUCAUGGCAGCAAAUGCACUCACCCUGGUAAGAUUCACCAUGUGAGCUACAGAUGACUCCUGGCUCCCAGAAGCAACGUAUGAAUGCGGACACAAACAGGCUCAAUUUUUGAACAGCAAGAGCCGAUAAAACGGAAAUCAGUAACUUACAGAGAAAAUAAUGCCCUAUUUGGCAAAUCUGAACAUAAGUCAGUUCCUUUGUAAAAACUAUCAACAAUUUUCUUAAAACUUGCUUAAAGUCUCUCUUGCGCUUUCUUUGUUCCUGAAUUAUUUUUUCUAAUUUAAAAUCUAAUUCCGUCUGUAAGUCUGUAUAUCCUUACACAUAGCAACAGAAAUCACAGGCUCUUACAGGACAGAACUGCUGUUUCUCUGGGUUGCUCCUGUACUGAGGCAAAACCCCUGUGAGUCACCUAUAUCUUGAUAUGGAUUUGAGACUAAACAUAUUAUAAUAGAUUUUUUUUUUAAAGUUAAACAUUAGAAAGUAAUCUUGCCAGGUGUAGUGGCUCAUGCCUGUAAUCCCAGCACUUUGGGAGGCUGAGUUGGGCAGAUUGUUUGAGGCCAGAAGUUUGAGAAAGUAAUCUCAUAUUUCAAAUAUAUGUACCUCUUCCCUUUCCAUGAUUCACAUGGUAGUAAAUAAAAUCUAACAUAAUUGUAUCAUCUUAACUAAUUAUACCUGUUCAUCUUGUGUGUUCUCACAGGUCUUAUGACCAAAGGAUAUUUACAUAAUAUGAGAUCACUCACUUGGUAGCUGCAAACUAGAAUUGUGACUUACUAGUCAUUACAUGCUGUAAAACAUGUUGUUGAAUUAAAAAAUAACACAGGCCCAUUUUUAAAAACAUAGGGUACAAAAUUAUAUAAAGUAAAAAAUGAGCAUUGACCUUCUUAAAGGUAGUCAUUGUUAAGUUUCAGGUAUUUUCAAUAUAGACAUUGACAUAAAUUGAUACAUUUAAUAACAUGCAAUAGACAUCUUUUAUAAAACAUCACAUAAACAUAUCCUACUCUAAUUUCCACAAAUAAUUCUAUUGAUUGGAUAGAGUAUAAUUGUUUAAUCAUUACUUUUUAAUGGACACCUAGACUGUUUCAAGGUUUUUGCUAUUGCAAAAUGAAGCAAAACAAAACAUACAGUAAGCAUCUCUGUGCAUUACCUUUGAAUACUCAUAUGAAAUGUAUCUGCAAGGUAAAUUUCUAGAAGUAGAAUUACUGAGGCAGAAAAUAUAUGCACAUUUUGAAAAUUUAUAGAUAUUGUCAUGUUGCCAGUCAAAAUCCUUAAACUAUUUUACAUUUCACCAAUAGAGAAUGAGGGUUCCUCUGUAUAUAUCUCAAUAUCUUUAGGGAUUAUUAGCCUUGAAAAACCUUUACAAUCUGGGUUGAAUGUGUGCUCCCAAAAUUUAUAUGUUGAAAUCCUUCCCCUCAAUGUGUGGAAAGCGAUUGGGUCAUAAGGGUGGAGCCCUUGUGAAUGGGAUUAGUACCCUUAUGAAUGAGGCCCUAGAGAGCUCCAUUGCCCUCUCUGUGCUGUGUGAAGUUACAGGGAGAAGAUGGCCAUCGGCAACCUGAAAGAACAUCCUAGAGCCCAACCAUGCCAGCACCCUGAUCUUAGACAUCCAGCCUCUAGAACUGUGAGAAGUAAAUUUCUGUUUAUAAGCCACCCAGCUUAUAGUAUUUCUGUUACAGCAAACCAAAUGGACUAAGACACUCUUUAUACAUUACUUUUGAAGCCACCAUGAUAGUAAAAGAAGUACGACAGAUGAGCAGAACCCCAAACUCCAUUCAUAGUGAAGUGUGCAUCCCAGGAACAGGGUCUAAAAAGGAGCGGGGGCAAGAGUGAGUUCACACAAAAUUACCCUGUCUUAGACCUCUUGGGAUAAAUUCCUCCUAAAAGAAAGCCCCAAAGCUCCUGCUAAAUUGGCCUGCUGCAGGUUGCCUUAAUAAUUUGCAAAGCACAUAAGAAGUAAGAGACUCACAAGACAGCUGGCUGUGUUCCCACCAUGGCUACAAAGGGGUGAGUGCACCAGCGAGCAGCUUACAUUUCCCUCCUAGACACACAGGAGGAAAACACUGCCACCUCCUUACUAUAUCCUGCUGAUUCUAAUCUGGAAUGAAGCCCUCCAGAAACGAAAUAAGAGUUCUAUUUUACUGGCCUAUCUGUGGCCUCAUCUAUGGAAUGAGAAUAUAUUGACACCCUGAUUUAUUCGUAGGUUCUUAUUAUAUGCCUUGCACAUAGUAAGUGUUCAGUAAGUGUUAGCUAUUAUUAUUUUUACUAUUACCAUUUUUUUUACAUUUUAUGGGAAGCUUCACUCUUUAUUCUGUAUUUAACUGAAAUAC